rnacentral:lncRNA from 1 species
CACAGAGGUUUUUGUGUGCAUCUGUACUUGUAUUGAUAGUAAGAGCUAUUCUUGUGCUUCGUGCUUGCACUUCCAUUAAUAUGUGAUCUAUGGUAAACUAGUUUUCUUGGCAGCAUUCUUGGCAUGUAUUGAACCAAAAUAUUGAAUGUUGUGGCAAUGCCAAGUGCAAAAGUGAGAUGCAGUUGGAUAGUCCAUAUCUUUUGAUAGUUGACUUGGUUAACAUCUUCAUGUGGGAAAUGAGCUUUGUAAUUAGUGAAAGUGAAACUGUGAAACAAUGGAAAUGCCUUGCGGUGUCGAGCUGCAGCUUCAUUGCUAAUAAUGCCAUUUAUGAGGAUAAAGAAUAUAUCUUUAGUAUGAGACGUUGAUUUGGUUUUUAAUUAUCCCUAUUUGUGACUUCUUUUCUUCCUAAUUUAUGCUUCUUUGUCUUCCCUUUCUGAUUCCUUUUUUUUAAAAAUUUCUGACAUUGGAUUUAGAGAUCUGAAUCCCAUAAAGGUUGAAGCCAAAUUUAGAGAUCUAUAGAGGUUGUUUGCUGAUUUUAAUUGCUCGGUUGAGAGCAAAUGUUUCAACUCAAUGCAAAUUUUUGCUCUUCUGUGAAAGCAACAUGCUAUGUAACUUUGUUAGUGAUUAUGUGGUCAGAAUCAAUUCUGCUAUGAGGGUGCCAUCUAGUGUAGUUGGUACAGUCAUUGGGAAUUGGUACAAACGUCCUGGGCUCGAGUCCUGCCCUCUUUUAAUUUCUACUGGGUUUCCUUUAAUCCUAGUU